UAAGCUUGACAUCCCACUGACCUCUCCCUAAUCGGAGAUUUCCCUUCGGGGACAGUGGUGACAGGUGGUGCAUGGUUGUCGUCAGCUCGUGUCGUGAGAUGUUGGGUUAAGUCCCGCAACGAGCGCAACCCUUGCCUUUAGUUGCCAGCAUUAAGUUGGGCACUCUAGAGGGACUGCCGAGGAUAACUCGGAGGAAGGUGGGGAUGACGUCAAAUCAUCAUGCCCCUUAUGCUUAGGGCUACACACGUGCUACAAUGGGUGGUACAGAGGGUUGCCAAGCCGCGAGGUGGAGCUAAUCCCUUAAAGCCAUUCUCAGUUCGGAUUGUAGGCUGAAACUCGCCUACAUGAAGCUGGAGUUACUAGUAAUCGCAGAUCAGAAUGCUGCGGUGAAUGCGUUCCCGGGUC
rnacentral:rRNA from 1 species